GGGAUUGUGGCUCAGAGGUAGAGCACUCGCCUACCAAGCAUGAGGCAUUAGGUUCAAUCCUCAAUACCA
rnacentral:tRNA from 1 species